rnacentral:rRNA from 1 species
GACGAACGCUGGCGGCGUGCCUAAUACAUGCAAGUUGAGCGCUGAAGGAUGGUACUUGUACCCACUGGAUGAGCAGCGAACGGGUGAGUAACGCGUGGGGAAUCUGCCUUUGAGCGGGGGACAACAUUUGGAAACGAAUGCUAAUACCGCAUAAAAACUUUAAACACAAGUUUUAAGUUUGAAAGAUGCAAUUGCAUCACUCAAAGAUGAUUCCGCGUUGUAUUAGCUAGUUGGUGAGGUAAAGGCUCACCAAGGCGAUGAUACAUAGCCGACCUGAGAGGGUGAUCGGCCACAAUGGGACUGAGACACGGCCCAAACUCCUACGGGAAGCAGCAGUAGGGGAUCUUCGGCAAUGGACGAAAGUCUUACCGAACAACGCCGCGGGAGGGAAGAAGGUUUUCGGAUCGUAAAACUCUGUUGGUAGAGAAGAACGUUGGUGAGGGUGGAAAGCUCAUCAAGUGACGGUAACUACCCAGAAAGGGACGGCUAACUACGUG